GGGGAAGGGCCGAGGAUCAGUGGGAGAGCAUCUGCUUUGAAUGCAGAAGGUGCCAGGUUCAAUCCCUGGCUUCUCCA